rnacentral:lncRNA from 1 species
UAAAAAAUACAUCAGUGCAGCAGAGCGCAUAAUUCUGGUGAACUUUACACAGCAUUAGCGAGCAACAGCAGUGUGCUCUUUGGCACAGUGUCACGGAAUGGGCAUAGUAGUGGCUGCAGGAAGGCUAGCUGGCUGUCACGCUGCCUCAUCUCUAGGGAUGCUUUAUGGCUCCCUAGCAGCUAAGAAUUUCAGACUGAAGAUCCUGGAAGUGGCACCAUUACCUUCCCAAGCCUGCCUGCCUGCAAAAAAACAACUCCAGAGAAAACAACCACGCAGUGCAUCCAAAAACAAAUUUAAUACGAGGAGGCCUGAGGCUUGGCUUCUCAACAGUAUGACUUUAAAAUAUCUCCAGCCUGUUAUCCACAUGAGUCAUCUUUCAAGGUCAGUAUCCUGUUCAUUCCAGCUGGUCUUUAAAUAGUCCUUCUACGGGGCACCAUCAGUAUCGUAAAAGUAGUCACUUGUGUGUAAUGAAGAGCAAGCUGACAAACAUGUAAUUUAGGCAUUUGCAUUCUUUUUUCAUUAUUGGGGGUUCAUUUGUUUCCGGGCACCUUCUAAGUCACAGACAUUUCCAGCACAGGACUCUUUUCUUCUCAGGUUGGAAGCACAGGCGAAUGACUACCUACAUAAAUGCUAUUGAUGCUACUGCUUAGCCAUCUGGAUGGGUGAUGUUUCUAUAUGUAACAUCUGGGUAGCCUUAAGACAUAUUGUCUUCUUUGCAAUGCACUCAGCAGCCCUCUGCGGGCCUGCAAGUGUAUUCCAGGACAUUGCUUUGCUGGAUUG